rnacentral:rRNA from 1 species
UGGGGAAUCUUGCGCUAAUGCGCGAAAGCGUGACGCAGCGACGCCGCGUGGGGGAUGAAGGCCCUCGGGUCGUAAACCCCUUUCGCCAGGGAAGAAGGGAAACUGACGGUACCUGGAGAAGAAGUCCCGGCUAACUACGUGCCAGCAGCCGCGGUAACACGUAGGGGACGAGCGUUGUCCGGAUUUAUUGGGCGUAAAGCGCGCGUAGGCGGCCCGGAAAGUCGGUUGUGAAAACCCGGGGCUCAACCCCGGGCCUGCAUCCGAUACUUCCGGGCUGGAGGUAGGUAGGGGAGAUCGGAAUUCCUGGUGUAGCGGUGAAAUGCGCAGAUAUCAGGAGGAACACCGGUGGCGAAGGCGGAUCUCUGGGCCUUACCUGACGCUGAGGCGCGAAAGCUAGGGGAGCGAACAGG